GGACUACUAGGGUAUCUAAUCCUGUUUGCUCCCCACACUUUCGAGUUUCAGUGUCAGUCGUGGUCCAGUAAGCCGUCUACACCGCAGGUGUUCCUCCUGAUAUCUACGCAUUUCACCGCUACACCAGGAAUUCCGCCUACCUCUCCCACACUCUAGCGCGACAGUCUUCGGCGCACCCUCCCAGUUGAGCCGGGAGAUUUCACACCAAACUUAUCGCACCACCUACACUCGCUUUACGCCCAGUAAUUCCGAACAACGCUUGCUGCCUACGUAUUACCGCGGCUGCUGGCAC
rnacentral:rRNA from 1 species